rnacentral:rRNA from 1 species
GACGAACGCUGGCGGCGUGCCUAAUACAUGCAAGUAGGACGCAGUUGCGAACGGGUGAGUAACGCGUAGGUAACUACCUAUUAGAGGGGGAUAACUAUUGGAAACGAUAGCUAAUACCGCAUACUAGUAGAUGGACCUGCGUUGUUUUAGUUAGUAGGUAGGGUAAUGGACUAACAAGGCAACGAUACAUAGCCGACCUGAGAGGGUGUUCGGCCACAAUGGGGCUGGGACACGGCCCAGGCUCCUACGGGAGGCAGCAGUAGGGGAUCUUCGGCAAAGGGGGGAACCCUGGCCGAGCAACGCCGCCGGAGUGAAGAAGGUUUUCGGAUCGUAAAGCUCUGUUGUUAAGGAAGCGGUACUUAACCAGAAAGCGACGGCUAACUACGUGCCAGCAGCCACGGUAAUAC